UACGGGGGGAGCAAGCGUUGUUCGGAUUUACUGGGCGUAAAGGGCGCGUAGGCGGUCGUGACAAGUCACUUGUGAAAUCUCCGGGCUUAACUCGGAACGGUCAAGUGAUACUGUCGGACUAGAGUACAGAAGGGGCAACUGGAAUUCUCGGUGUAGCGGUGAAAUGCGCAGAUAUCAGGAAGAACACCUAUGGCGAAGGCAGCUCUCUGGGACGGUACUGACGCUGAGACGCGAAAGCGUGGGGAGCGAACAGG
rnacentral:rRNA from 1 species